ensembl:snRNA U1 U1 spliceosomal RNA
AUACCUACCUGGCAGCAGAGAUACCAUGAUCACGAAGGUGGUUUUCCCAGGGGGAGGCUUAUCCAUUGCCAUCCAUAUGUACUGAUGCCUGCUAUUUCCCCAAAUGUUGGAAACUCAACUGCAUAAUUUGUGGUAGUGGGGGACUGUGUUCGCACUCCCUCCUG